ensembl:lncRNA
CUCCUUCUCUACACAUACAUUGCAAAUGAAUUAAAAAGGUUCCUCUUUCAGUGUGACACUGCAAUAUAAGGCCAUACCUCUCUGAGUAGCUCAUCUUCAAAGCACCAAGUAACCAAUAAAAAAACAAAGUCAUAAGUUUGUUGCCUCGCUACAUUUCAAGAUGCGGACAGCUCUCUCUACCUGCUGUUGGAUUAGUGUCAUUGCUGUAGCCCUUGUGAUGCUCUUAUCUGCACCUGAAGCUGGUUCUGCAUCAGUAGGCCUACGCUGCUGUCAUAAGAGCGCCAUAUUGAAGAAGCCCGAGGGGAUCCAGGAGUGCUUUGAACAGAUAAAACGACACAGCUGCCAUCACCAUGCCUUUGUGAUUGUGACUGAAAGAAAGAGCCUUUGUGUCAGCCCAAAUACCAAAUGGCUCAAGAAGCUGACUGAGAUGGGAGAACUACAGUGUCCUAAAAGCAUCUCCUACAAACACAGAUAUGAAUUCCUGGAUGAAGAUGAAUAGCAAACUGUGACCAUAGAGACGCAUCAAUAAAAUAAAAAAUGCUGAUUUUCUUCUCACAGCUUCCACAGGCUCAUGUCAAAAGUUGUUACUGAGAAUAAAUGAUCAAUUUAGAAAGGUG